GUGAAUCAUCGAAUCUUUGAACGCACCUUGCGCUCCCGGCAGAUCUAAUCUGGGGAGCAUGCCUGUUUGAGGGCCGCGAAUUGUUUCGAACGACAACUUUUUCUUCUUCUUCUUUUUUUGAAGAGUUGGCGGAUCGGUAUUGAGGGUUUUGCCAUUCACCGUGGCUCCCUCGAAAUGCAUUAGCGCAUCCAUUUGAUAGGCAAGACGGACGAAAGCUCGAUUUUCGCUCUCUCUUCCCUGCCGGGUUUUGAUAAUAUCAGGACUUCGGAGAGGUUGAGAUGGGUAAGAGCUGGACGCAAC
rnacentral:misc_RNA from 1 species